AUCCAGCUGACGAGUCUCAAAUAAGACGAAACGCGCGUUCUGGAU
rfam:Schistosoma curassoni strain Dakar, Senegal genome assembly, scaffold: SCTD_scaffold0000131